rnacentral:rRNA from 1 species
GGACGGGUGAGUAAUACAUAGGAAUCUACCCAAUGGUGGGGGAUAGCUCGGGGAAACUCGAAUUAAUACCGCAUAAUCUCUACGGAGUAAAGGGGGCUUCGGCUCUCGCCAUCGGAUGAGCCUAUGCAGGAUUAGCUUGUUGGUGAGGUAAUGGCUUACCAAGGCAACGAUCCUUAGCUGGUUUGAGAGGAUGACCAGCCACAUCGGGACUGAGACACGGCCCGGACUUCUACGGAAGGCAGCAGUAGGGAAUAUUGGACAAUGAGCGAAAGCUUGAUCCAGCCAUGCCGCGUGUGUGAUGACGGCCUUCGGGUUGUAAAGCACUU